UACAGAGGGUGCGAGCGUUAAUCGGAAUUACUGGGCGUAAAGGGUUCGUAGGUGGUGCGGCAAGUUGAAAGUGAAAUCUCUGGGCUUAACCCAGAGGCUGCUUUCAAAACUGCCGCGCUCGAGUGCGAGAGAGGUCAGUGGAAUUGCAGGUGUAGCGGUGAAAUGCGUAGAUAUCUGCAGGAACACCCGUGGCGAAGGCGGCUGACUGGAUCGCAACUGACACUGAGGAACGAAAGCUAGGGGAGCAAACAGG
rnacentral:rRNA from 1 species